ACAGCAGUAGCCGCGGGAAAACGUAGGGUGCAAGCGUUAAUCGGAAUUACUGGGCGUAAAGCGUGCGCAGGCGGUUUGUUAAGACAGAUGUGAAAUCCCCGGGCUCAACCUGGGAACUGCAUUUGUGACUGGCAAGCUAGAGUGUGGCAGAGGGGGGUGGAAUUCCGCGUGUAGCAGUGAAAUGCGUAGAUAUGCGGAGGAACACCGAUGGCGAAGGUAGCCCCCUGGGCCAACACUGACGCUCAUGCACGAAAGCGUGGGGAGCAAACAGGAUUAGAUACCCCAGUAGUCCCUGUCUCUUAUAC
rnacentral:rRNA from 1 species